GAGGAGGUGGUGGCGGCGGUGGUGCGACAAUUCUUUUUGUUGGUGAUUUGCAUUGGUGGACCACAGAUGCUGAGCUGGAAGCUGAGCUGAGCAAGUAUGGACACGUGAAGGAGGUGAAAUUUUUUGAAGAAAAAGCUAGUGGGAAGUCUAAAGGAUAUUGCCAGGUUGAGUUUCAUGAUUCCUCAGCUGCCACAGCUUGCAAGGAAAGUAUGAAUGGACAUAUGUUCAAUGGGCGACCAUGUGUAGUCGCUUAUGCAUCAUCACCGUAUAAUGUGAAGAGGAUGGGUGAGGCUCAGGUGAAUCGAAAUCAGCAGGUGGCUCAAACUGCUGUUCCCCAAGCAAGGCGGGGGCCUGGUGAAGCUGCUGGUAAAAUUGGAAAUAACAACACUCCUACUGGUGGCAAUUAUCAAGGCGGCGGUGGUGGUGGGGAUGGCAACAGGGGGGGUUAUGGUAGAGGCAGUUGGGGUAGAGGAGGUCCUCAAGCUAUGGGAAAUCGGGGGCCUGUAGGUCCUAUGAGAAACAGGCCUGGUGGGAUUGCAGGUAGGGGUAUGAUGGGUAACGGUGGAGGUGGAUUUGGACAAGGUAUGGGUGGUGCACCUCCUAUUAUGCAUCCUCAAACAAUGAUGGGUCAAGGCUUUGAUCCUGCUUUUGGAGGGCCUAUGGGGAGAAUGGGUGGUUAUGGAGGAUUUCCUGGUGGUCCAGCUCCACCAUUUCCUGGUAUGUUGUCAUCUUUUCCACCUGUUGGAGGAGUUGGGAUGCCUGGAGUAGCUCCGCAUGUAAAUCCUGCAUUCUUUGGUAGAGGAAUGCCAAUGAAUGGUAUGGGAAUGAUGCCAGGCGCUGGUAUGGAGGGGCCUAACAUGGGGAUGUGGUCAGAACCUAAUGCGGGUGGAUGGGCUGGUGACGAGCACGGUGGUAGAGCAGGAGAGUCAAGUUAUGCAGAAGAAGCUGGGUCUGAUCAUCAGUAUGGAGAAACAACUCACGAUAGAGGGGCUUGGCCAAAUAAUGUGAAAGAGAAAGACAGAGGAUCAGAGCGUGAUUGGUCUGGUUCUACAGAUAGAAAACAUAGAGAAGGCAGAGAACCAUCCUAUGAUAGAGACAUGGCUCGUGAAAAGGAUCGGGGCCACGACCAGGAUUGGCCAGAGAAAAGAUACCGCGAUGAUAGAGAUGUCGCACGAGACAGAGAGAGGGACCGCGAUCAUGAACGUCCUAGAGAACGAGGGCGUGAUCGCGAGAGGGAUCGAGAUCGUGAUCGUCAUAGGGAUGAUAGAGAUAGAUAUGCUGAUCAUCACAGGUACAAGGACCGUGAGCAGGAAUAUGAUGAUGAAGACAGAGGAAGAUCAUCAAGAGGACACAGCAAAUCACGAUUAUCACAUGAGGAAGACCAUCGGUCAAGAUCAAGGGAUGCUGAUUAU
rnacentral:misc_RNA from 1 species